rnacentral:lncRNA from 1 species
GAGUUAAAGUCUUGGUCGGCCGACCGACCAAACCAAGAUUAGUUUGCUGUAAUUUUUUUCCAAACAUGAUAAAAUGGUGAUAGUAAUUGGCAAUAGAGGACGAGGUAUAGAUGAUGAGGCAAAGCCGAUAGAUUGACAAAGAUGACGAGGCAAGGGGAAUGACCGACGAGCAAAUUACAGAGGUGAGGAGAGGCCAAUAACGACGAAGGUGAAGCACUGAGCAUGGACAGAGAUGAAAAGACAGGGGAAUGAUUGACAAGAAAAUUAAAAAGGUGAGGAGAGGCCAACGGCGAUAGAGAUGAAGUGGCAAGCACGGGAUCAGGGGUUAAAGAAUGAUUGCAGCUGAGGUAAGGCUUUUCUCUUUUGGUUUUGGGAAUUUAGGUUUUAGGAAAGGAUUUAAAUAGUGAUAGGGUAGCAGAAUAAAAUCGCUAUAUAGUAGCAGUGGCGCCAUCCAAAAUCGCUACUGCUGAAAAUAGUAAUGCGAAGUGGAAUCACUGUAACAGCUUAUUUUAGGGUCAAAUCAGAACAGUGAUUUUGGGACCACGAAUCUGAAGUAGAAAUAUUUAUUUCGAUAUUAUUUUAAGGUAUAUAGUAUGAUUGAAUGAUUGUGUGAAAAUUUCGUUAAGAAAUUUUAUUGAUAAGGUGUCCAAUUUAACUAAUAGGACUAAAUUGCAAUAGGUGCAAAAUGUAUGUUCUAAAAGCUAGAGGUGUCUAAUUGCUAUGAAAUUUUAAAUUGGAGGUCCUUAAAUGGUAAUUAUACCAUUAUACUUGAAGUUGGACAAAACUGAACAUGGUUAGGAGAAAUUUCAAAGUUUGGCAUUAAGGGCAUUUUGGUCAUUUGGUUAAUAAAGACAAAAUAAAACAAAUAAAAGUGUCCAUCUUCUUCAGUUUAGUCGCCUUAGCAAAAAAUUGAAAAGUCUCCAUAGUUAGGGUUUUGGCCAAGCUUUCAAGCUCAAUUAUAAGUCCGUUCUUGUACCGUUUUUAAUAAUUUUUAUAUUUUUGAGAUCGUUAUAACCUAAUCUAGCUAUUUCAGGGACUAAUUUGAAAGAAAAUCAAAGUCUAAAAUUUUACCCAUGUUGAACAUGCAUGUAUUUUGAUGUCUAAUGGUAGAAAAUGCAUGUUUGAUGUUAGAUAAACAACAUUUACCAAGUAAUUUUUGAUGUAAAUGUCAAAUACGGACUUAUUUGUAAAUAUUGUAAAAUAUGUGUAAAAAUAUGAAUAAAUGAAAAAUGUGGGCUAUUAUGAGCAAUGAAUAGGUUCAUCUAGGCUUGGGUAAUGAAUAAAUUGAAUGAAAAUCAUUUUACGAGCCUAGGGACUAAAAUGUAAAAAUUUGAAAAGUUAAGGGUAAAAAUGUAAUUUUUGCAAUAAGGUGUUUUUGGGAUUAAAUUGAAUAAUGUGAUGAUUGAAUAAGUUAAAUGUGGUAUUAUAGAUCAAGAAAGACGAGGUUCUGACCUAGACUGGGAAAAGAACAAAGUUGUGGACUAAAUCGAACUAUUAGCCAUUUUGUAUCGAGGUAAGUUCGUAUGUUAAAAAUAAGCUUUAAUAUGAUUGUAUUUUAUUGUUUUAAUAUUCCAUGAACUGUAUGUUUGAUUAAUGUGGAUGAACUUAAUCUUAUGAACAAGUCUAAAGACGAAUCGAUAAGUAAGAAAUCCCAUUUGAGCCUUAGGAAUAGGGUAGGAUACAAGUGACGUGUCACUAGGGUUAGUAUGUGUUAUGUGAUUAUGUGAUCUGGGUGCCGGUCUUGUACAUCCUACCGGUGGCUGAGUAUACCAGCAUAUGUUGCGGAUACUUGACAGCUUGUGUGAGCAGCACCGCGUAGCUACGACUUGACUGACAGCUUGUGUGAGCAGGCCCAUUGAUAGCUCGAGAGCGAGCAACUAUGUGAUAUGAGAUUGAGGUAGAUUGGCUACAUAUGUGGCACUUAGUGUGCAAUAAUCUCGAGUAUCCAACAUUAUUAUUCUGAGUGGUUCACGGGUAUGUCAAAUAUGAGAAUAUGUGUAAAUUCAUUUUCGGAUGGUUCAGGUAUGUACAUAAAGCUCAUGUUUAUUAAAUGCUUGAAAUGAUGAAAAUGAGGUAAGUUUUGUGAUAGAAUGAAUGAUGACCAUGAGACUAUGGUAAAUUUACAUUAAAUUAUGUUAUGUUAUCUGAAUGUUACAUGCAUAGUAAG